rnacentral:snRNA from 1 species
AGCCUGACCUGGCAGGAGAGACACCAUUAUCAGGCAGGUGGUUUUCCCAGGAUGAGGCUCAUCCCUUGCGCUCGGGGUGUGUUGACCCCUGUGAUUUCCCCAAAUGUGGGAAACUAGACUGCAUAAUUCGUGGUAGUGGGGGAUUGUGUUUGUGCUCUCUCCUG